rnacentral:rRNA from 1 species
UACGUAGGGGGCAAGCGUUGUCCGGAAUCACUGGGCGUAAAGCGCGCGCAGACGGUCAUCUACGUCUGGGGUGAAAGCCCGGAGCUCAACUCCGGGAUUGCCUUGGAUACGGGAUGACUUGAGGAUCGGAGAGGCAAGGGGAAUUCCACGUGUAGCGGUGAAAUGCGUAGAUAUCAGGAGGAACACCUGUGGCGAAAGCGGCGCACUGGACCACAACUGACGCUGAGGCGCGAAAGCUAGGGGAGCAAACAGG